UUCUGAGAACACCUGUAAACAACAAGGGUUCUAAGAACUUAGAAAUAAGCUAAGAUGGAAAUGUACCAGCUCUGCUGAUUAUGCUUUCGCUUUUGAGCAACACCAGAACAAGGAAGUAACUAAGCACAAUGCAGGUAUAUAACACACAGUAAAGCUUUACUGGCCAGAACAUGCUGAGCUGACACACUGGGGGUGUGUAGGCAGUCUGUUCCCGAGCCGGCUCGCAUUAAAGCAAUAAGAGGCAUUAACAAUAGAAUGCAUUACUGAAUAAAGGAGUAUUAAUAAAAGUAACA